AUUGAACGCUGGCGGCAGGCCUAACACAUGCAAGUCGAGCGAGCGGCGGACGGGUGAGUAAUGUAUGGGGAUCUGCCUGAUGGAGGGGGAUAACUACUGGAAACGGUAGCUAAUACCGCAUACCAUCAGAUGUACCCAGAUGGGAUUAGCUUGUAGGUGGGGUAAUGGCUCACCUAGGCGACGAUCCCUAGCUGGUCUGAGAGGAUGAGCAGCCACACUGGAACUGAGACACGGUCCAGACUCCUACGGGAGGCAGCAGUGGGGAAUAUUGGACAAUGGGCGAAAGUCUGAUGGAGCCACGCCGCGUGUAUGAAGAAGGUCUUCGGGUUGUAAAGCACUUUCGGGGGAGAGGCGGUACCCGCCGAGGAAGCAACGGCUAACUACGUGCCAGCAGCCGCGGUAAUUC
rnacentral:rRNA from 1 species